UGAAAAGAACUGAAGCAUUUGGGCAUCAGUCUGCUGAUCAGGCCAAACAACACAAGACCAAAUUAAUCAACAUUACAGCAAAAGUGAGCUCCACUGGAGAAAAUGUUUUCGGUGGAUGGUAUAGCUAGCUACAAGGAAUCUAAAGCAGCCUGGAACAUGGCCACAAGGAAUCUCAGCAGUGAACUUGGGAAAAGGAAGUCUAACGUGGUUGCAAGGUGAUAUCACAGUGUGGAUCUGAUCUGAUGAAACCAAA
ensembl:lncRNA